CAAGCCCAGGGGCACACCAGAAAGCAGAAGGUUUCUUUCUUGGCUGUAAAGGUCUUCAAACCAUAAACCCAUAUGGAUCUGAUCAUCUUCUAAGUGAAAGAGAGAAUCUGGAUAUUAUUUCAUGUGCAACUUACAAAAGGAACCCACUAGUACGUCUCAACAGAGGAAAGUGACUUAUACAUGCCUCCAAAGUAACCCUGGAAUGAUGCCUGAAGCCAGGUUUGAAACUGUGAGUAAUUGCUAUGGAGGAUAGAGAUGGAGCCAGAUACAUCCUCAGUUCUGGCCUUUAAGGCCAUGCCUUCUGGGACUUGCAGUUCCCCUGAAGGAUCAUGGGAUUGUAAGCUACAUCAAGGCCUGCUGGGAAAGAAGGCCCAAGCCCUAAAAGAGCUCACGGUUGCUGAGAGGUUAUGGUUUUGUUAAGAUUUGAUGUAUGGGUUUGCUGAAGCAGCUGUGGAAUAGGAGGAGUUUGUGUAGGUAGGAUAGCAGGCCUUAGAAAAGACCCUAAUAGGACAGUCAAAAUGGUGGGAAAAGGGCCCUCAGAAAGGCUGGUGCCUGUGGUGAAAGCUAGAGAAUAUGAGAGGUAGGGUAGGGAUCUGCUUAUUUACUUCUCCAAUGAUGAGAUGAAAGACCAGCAGUAGGACAAUAAGCUGAAGAAGUAUAUGUAAGAGUUUGCAAGGGCUCAUGAAGUGGCCCAGAGGCAUGCCUUGAAAAGAUUCAUUUGGUGGAGCACUGUUUGGUAGUCUGAACCCAGAGAGUUUUGAAGCAAAGGUUGAAAGCUGAUUGGAAAGGGGAGGGCUCUCUUUGGCUUGUCUGGAGAGCUCAAUUAGAUUAAAUGAACUAUGAAACUGCUAGGAGACUACUGUCCUGACGGCACGUAGUGCUGGAGAGAGUAAAUGAUGGUGUUUCACUCUGCAAA